GGGGCUGCGCGCCAGGAGGGCGCAGAGCACGGAGCCUGCCUUGGACGCCGACUGGAGGGCCUGGCGGGCGAGGUGGUGGGAAAAUGAAACCAGAUGGCAACUAGGAGAUGUAGGAAAGAAUAAAGAGCCACUAAUAAGGUGCCUUCCUCUGCUUUGAGGUCCUAAACCACUACCUCCAACAUCCUCUUUUGUCUUUAGCUAAAAAUGAUAUUCAAGGUGAAGCCUUCAGGU